CUAUAACCCUUUGUGAACAUACCUACAACUGUUGCUUCGGCGGGUAGGCCGUCCCCUGAAAAGGACGCCUCCCGGCCCGGACCGGACCCCCCGUGGGGCCGGACUCGGCGCCCGCCGGAGGAUAACCAAACGCUAUUUUAACGACGUUUCUUCUGAGUGGCAUAAGCAAAAUAAUCAAAACUUUUAACAACGGAUCUCUUGGUUCUGGCAUCGAUGAAGAACGCAGCGAAAUGCGAUAAGUAAUGUGAAUUGCAGAAUUCAGUGAAUCAUCGAAUCUUUGAACGCACAUUGCGCCCGCCAGCAUUCUGGCGGGCAUGCCUGUUCGAGCGUCAUUUCAACCCUCAAGCUCUGCUUGGUGUUGGGGCUCUACGGUCGACGUAGGCCCUCAAAGGUAGUGGCGGACCCUCCCGGAGCCUCCUUUGCGUAGUAACAUUUCGUCUCGCACUGGGAUCCGGAGGGACUCUUGCCGUAAAACCCCCCAAUCUUUCAAGGUUGACCUCGGAUCAGGUAGGAAUACCCGCUGAACUUAAGCAUAUCAAUAAGGCGGAGGAA
rnacentral:rRNA from 1 species